rnacentral:rRNA from 1 species
CACGUAGUUAGCCGGUGCUUAUUCUUCAGGUACCGUCAUUAGCGAGGGAUAUUAGCCCUCACCGUUUCUUCCCUGACAAAAGAGCUUUACAACCCGAAGGCCUUCUUCACUCACGCGGCAUUGCUGGAUCAGGCUUUCGCCCAUUGUCCAAAAUUCCCCACUGCUGCCUCCCGUAGGAGUCUGGGCCGUGUCUCAGUUCCAGUGUGGCUGGUCGUCCUCUCAGACCAGCUACUGAUCGUAGCCUUGGUGAGCCUUUACCUCACCAACUAGCUAAUCAGAUAUCGGCCGCUCCAGGAGCACAAGGUCCGAAGAUCCCCUGCUUUCAUCCUUAGAUCGUAUGCGGUAUUAGCGUAACUUUCGCUACGUUACUCCCCCACUCUUGGGUACGUUCCGAUAUAUUACUCACCCGUUUCGCCACUCGCCGCCAGGUUCGCCCCGCGCUGCCGUUCGACUUGCAUGUAGUAAAGCAUCGCCGCAGCGUUACAAUCUGACGCCAGGA